GAUGAACGCUGGCGGCGUGCUUAACACAUGCAAGUCGAACGGAAAGGCCCAAGCUUGCUUGGGUACUCGAGUGGCGAACGGGUGAGUAACACGUGGGUGAUCUGCCCCGCACUUCGGGAUAAGCCUGGGAAACUGGGUCUAAUACCGGAUAGGACAGUGGUUUGGAUGCCAUUGUGGAAAGUUUUUUCGGUGUGGGAUGAGCUCGCGGCCUAUAAGCUUGUUGGGGGGGGAAUGGCCUACCAAGGCGUCGACGGGGAGCCGGCCGGGGAGGGGGGACGGCCACAUUGGGACUGAGAUACGGCCCAGACUCCUACGGGAGGCAGCAGUGGGGAAUAUUGCACAAUGGGCGCAAGCCUGAUGCAGCGACGCCGCGUGGGGGAUGACGGCCUUCGGGUUGUAAAAUCCUUUCGCUAGGGACGAAGCGUUAUGUGACGGUACCUAGAGAAGAAGCACCGGCUAACUACGUG
rnacentral:rRNA from 1 species